rnacentral:tRNA from 1 species
UCCCUGGUGGCUCAGAGGAUAAAGCUUCUGCCUGCAAUGCAGGAGGCCCAGCUUCGAUCCCUGGGUUGGGAA